GAUGAACGCUGGCGGCGUGCCUAAUACAUGCAAGUCGAGCGAACGGACGAGAAGCUUGCUUCUCUGAUGUUAGCGGCGGACGGGUGAGUAACACGUGGAUAACCUACCUAUAAGACUGGGAUAACUUCGGGAAACCGUAGCUAAUACCGGAUAAUAUUUUGAACCGCAUGGUUCAAAAGUGAAAGACGGUCUUGCUGUCACUUAUAGAUGGAUCCGCGCUGCAUUAGCUAGUUGGUAAGGUAACGGCUUACCAAGGCAACGAUGCAUAGCCGACCUGAGAGGGGGAUCGGCCACACUGGAACUGAGACACGGUCCAGACUCCUACGGGAGGCAGCAGUAGGGAAUCUUCCGCAAUGGGCGAAAGCCUGACGGAGCAACGCCGCGUGAGUGAUGAAGGUCUUCGGAUCGUAAAACUCUGUUAUUAGGGAAGAACAUAUGUGUAAGUAACUGUGCACAUCUUGACGGUACCUAAUCAGAAAGCCACGGCUAACUACG
rnacentral:rRNA from 1 species